rnacentral:rRNA from 1 species
GAUGAACGCUGGCGGCGUGCCUAAUACAUGCAAGUCGAGCGAACGGACGAGAAGCUUGCUUCUCUGAUGUUAGCGGCGGACGGGUGAGUAACACGUGGAUAACCUACCUAUAAGACUGGGAUAACUUCGGGAAACCGGAGCUAAUACCGGAGAAUAUUUUGAACCGCAUGGUUCAAAAGUGAAAGACGGUCUUGCUGUCACUUAUAGCUGGAUCCGCGCUGCAUUAGCUAGUUGGUAAGGUAACGGCUUACCAAGGCAACGAUGCAUAGCCGACCUGAGAGGGUGAUCGGCCACACUGGAACUGGGACACGGUCCAGACUCCUACGGGAGGCAGCAGUAGGGAAUCUUCCGCAAUGGGCGAAAGCCUGACGGAGCAACGCCGCGUGAGUGAUGAAGGUCUUCGGAUCGUAAAACUCUGUUAUUAGGGAAGAACAUAUGUGUAAGUAACUGUGCACAUCUUGACGGUACCUAAUCAGAAAGCCACGGCUAACUACGUG